UACGUCGGGUCCGCGCUUUUUCCUUAAUUACUGGGCGUAAAGAGCUCGUAGGUGGUUUGUCGCGUUGUUCGUGAAAACUCACAGCUCAACUGUGGGCGUGCGGGCGAUACGGGCAGACUGGAGUACUGCAGGGGAGACUGGAAUUCCUGGUGUAGCGGUGGAAUGCGCAGAUAUCAGGAGGAACACCGGUGGCGAAGGCGGGUCUCUGGGCAGUAACUGACGCUGAGGAGCGAAAGCGUGGGGAGCGAACAGG
rnacentral:rRNA from 1 species